rnacentral:rRNA from 1 species
AUUGAACGCUGGCGGCAUGCUUUACACAUGCAAGUCGAACGGUAACAGGCCUUCGGGUGCUGACGAGUGGCGAACGGGUGAGUAAUGCAUCGGAACGUACCCAGAGGUGGGGGAUAACGCAGCGAAAGCUGUGCUAAUACCGCAUGUGAUCUGAGGAUGAAAGCGGGGGACCGAGCAGCAAUGUUUGGCCUCGCGCCUUUGGAGCGGCCGAUGUCGGAUUAGCUAGUUGGUGGGGUAAAGGCCUACCAAGGCGACGAUCCGUAGCUGGUCUGAGAGGACGACCAGCCACACUGGGACUGAGACACGGCCCAGACUCCUACGGGAGGCAGCAGUGGGGAAUUUUGGACAAUGGGCGAAAGCCUGAUCCAGCAAUGCCGCGUGCGGGAAGAAGGCCUUCGGGUUGUAAACCGCUUUUGGCAGGAACGAAACGGUGUCCGCUAAUACCGGGCGCUAAUGACGGUACCUGCAGAAUAAGCGCCGGCUAACUACGUG